rnacentral:rRNA from 1 species
GACGAACGCUGGCGGCGUGCCUAAUACAUGCAAGUCGAGCGCAGGAAGCCGACGGAACCCUUCGGGGGGGCGUCGACGGAAUGAGCGGCGGACGGGUGAGUAAAACGUAAAGAACCUGCCCUCAGGUGUGGGAUAACCACGAGAAAUCGGGGCUAAUCCCGGAAGGGUCAUCGGACCGCAUGGUCCGAGGAGGAAAGGCUCCCCGGCGUCGCCUGGGGUGGGUGUGUCGGUGCAGUAGCUGGUUGGUGGGGUAAUGGCCCCCCAAGGCGACGAUGCAUAGACGACCAGAGAGGGUAAUCGGCCACACUGGGACUGAGACACGGCCCAGACUCCUACGGGAGGCAGCAGUAGGGAAGCUUCCACAAUGGACGAAAGUCUGAUGGAGCAACGCCGCGUGAACGAUGAAGGCUUUCGGGUCGUAAAGUUCUGUUGUAAGGGAAGAACAAGUGCCGCAGGCAAUGGCGGCACCUUGACGGUACCUUGCGAGAAAGCCACGGCUAACUACGUGCCAGCCGCCGCGGUAAGAC